rnacentral:rRNA from 1 species
CUACGUGCCAGCAGCCGCGGUAAUACGUAGGGCGCGAGCGUUGUCCGGAAUUAUUGGGCGUAAAGGGCUUGUAGGCGGCCAGAUAAGUCUGGGGUGAAAACUUGCGGCUCAACCGCAAGCCUGCCCUGGAAACUAUGUGGCUAGAGUACUGGAGAGGUGGACGGAACUGCACGAGUAGAGGUGAAAUUCGUAGAUAUGUGCAGGAAUGCCGAUGAUGAAGAUAGUUCACUGGACGGUAACUGACGCUGAAGUGCGAAAGCUAGGGGAGCAAACAGGAUUAGAUACCCUGGUAGUCCUAGCUGUAAACGAUGAUUACUGGGUGUGGGCAUGAAGAGUGUCCGUGCCGAAGCUAAUGCGAUAAGUAAUCCGCCUGGGGAGUACGGCCGCAAGGCUGAAACUCAAAGGAAUUGACGGGGACCCGCACAAGCGGUGGAGCAUGUGGUUUAAUUCGACGCAACGCGAGGAACCUUACCAGAUCUUGACAUCCUG